rnacentral:rRNA from 1 species
CCCUUAGAUGUUCUGGGCCGCACGCGCGCUACACUGAUGCAUUCAACGAGUUUCUUCCUGGUCCGAGAGGAAUGGGUAACCUUUUGAAAGUGCAUCGUGAUAGGGAUAGACUAUUGCAAUUAUUGGUCUUCAACGAGGAAUUCCUAGUAGACGUAGUUCAUCAGACUGCAUCGAUUACGUCCCUGCCCUUUAUACACACCGCCCGUCGCUCCUACCGAUUGAAUGCUCAGGUGAGCCAUUCGGACUUUCAUCAUGCUGGUUUCCAGUUUUGAUGAAGGAAAGUCUUGCGAACCUUAUCAUUUAGAGGAAGGAGAAGUCGUAACA